CCUACGGGGGACUGCAGUGGGGAAUAUUGCACAAUGGGGGAAACCCUGAUGCAGCGACGCCGCGUGAGUGAAGAAGUAUCUCGGUACGUAAAGCUCUAUCAGCAGGGAAGCAAAUGACGGUACCUGACCAAGAAGCCGCGGCUAACUACGUGCCAGCAGCCGCGGGAAUACGGAGGGGGCAAGCGUUAUCCGGAUUUACUGGGGGUAAAGGGAGCGUAGACGGCAGCACAAGUCUGGAGUGAAAUCCCGGGGCUUAACCCCGGGACUGCUUUGGAAACUGGGCGGCUGGAGUGCAGGAGGGGUAAGCGGAAUGCCUAGUGUAGCGGUGAAAUGCGUAGAUAUUGGGAGGAACACCGGUGGCGAAGGCGGCUUACUGGACUGUAACUGACGUUGAGGCUCGAAAGCGUGGGGAGCGAACAGGAUUAGAUACCCCAGUAGUC
rnacentral:rRNA from 1 species